CUCCAGCUGGAGAGCCUCAAAUAAGACGAAACGCGCUUCCUGGAU
rfam:Schistosoma curassoni strain Dakar, Senegal genome assembly, scaffold: SCTD_scaffold0000395